ensembl:misc_RNA Metazoa_SRP Metazoan signal recognition particle RNA
GCCAGGCGUGGUGGCGCAUGCCUGUAGUCCCAGCUACUUGGGAGGCUGAGCCAGGAGGAUUGCUUGAACCCGGGAGGCGGAGGUUUCAGUGAGCCGAUAUUGUACCACUGCACUCCUGCCUGGGUGACAGAGCAAGACUCUGUCUCAA